CAUAUUCACUCACCAUCAAUGGCAGGAUGCAUCCAUAUACUAUCAUUUGUCAUUCAGUCUGACUUCAAGCUGAAUAAACACCCAAACAUAUAAUGUGGAUAGAGUAAUGUAAUUAAGAUUAUAAGUAAGAGAGAUAAAAUGGCCUAUGUAACAAUACAGCUUUGUAUUUCUAACAGGAUAUUGUGAAGAAAUAUCACGUGAAAGUAUAAUUGCUGUCAAGGCCAGACAGAUCCAACAGUGCAAACAGUGAAACAGAAAAUGCAGACUACAGAGUAUUGAUGCUGAACUGGGAAUGACAGCAGGAAUGGAGUAUUGCUUACCAGUAGUCCAAUCUCAAAGGGAUGGCUUCCAAGGCACUGAUCUGGCAGUACGGCUCAAAGUUGGAAAGUUCGUACAACUGGAUUUCGCGAUCACUGUCAGACAAAUUUUAAACAGACUCCUGUAACUGUCAGCUGUUUACAACAACAGCGAUAACCCUGCAGCAAUGACACACCAAGAGCAAUGGAAACUCCUAUACAACUGUGAACCUUAGUGGAGUAUAUCAUCUUUCCGCAAGGACUACUUUUCAGCUAGGAGCUGCUGGAGCAAAUGAAAGGAACAGACAUUUUCACCAAAAUAAAAUGCAUCAGAGAUUUCAGCUGCGAAGACCAGAAGGACACGACACCAUCUUCCCGAGCCGUCACUAGCGUGUGGUCGGCCAGGGAACAAAUGCGGAGGACGGGUUCCCCGUGGGAGAGCUGCUGCCUCGCAGCGGGGAGCGAGAAGGCCGUCUGCUUCAGCUGGGCGGAGGACCUGUCCUGUUCGGCAUACUCCAGCUGCAUGUACGUGCAGAAGUCAUUCUGGCACAGAAGAGGUCUGGUCACUCGGGAGCGCGGCAGUAAAACACUGAUGC
rnacentral:lncRNA from 1 species